GUGCCAGCCGCCGCGGUAAUACCGGCAGCCCGAGUGAUGGCCGAUCUUAUUGGGCCUAAAGCGUCCGUAGCUGGCCGCGCAAGUCCAUCGGGAAAUCCACCCGCUCAACGCGUGGGCGUCCGGUGGAAACUGUUUGGCUUGGGCCAGAAGACCUGAGGGGUACGUCCGGGGUAGGAGUGAAAUCCUAUAAUCCUGGACGGACCACCAAUGGGGAAACCACCUCAGGAGGAUGGAUCCGACAGUGAGGGACGAAAGCCAGGGUCUCCAACCGGAUUAGAUACCCAGUAGUCC
rnacentral:rRNA from 1 species